rnacentral:rRNA from 1 species
GCAAGUCGAGGGGUAACAGGGAAAGCUUGCUUUCUGCUGACGACCGCGCACCGGUGCGCACCGCGUAUGGAACCUACCUUUUACAGGGGAAUAGCCCAUGGAAACGUGGAUGAAUGCCCCGUAGUACUAUUGAAUGGCAUCGUUUAAUAGUUAAAGGCUUCGGCUGGUAAAAGAUGGCCAUGCGUCCCAUUAGUUAGUUGGUAAGGUAACGGCUUACCAAGACUACGAUGGGUAGGGGCCCUGAGAGGGGGAUC